GUGUCAGCAGCCGCGGUAAUACGUAGGGGGCAAGCGUUGUCCGGAUUUAUUGGGCGUAAAGAGCGUGUAGGCGGCUUGGUAGGUCUCGCGUCAAAACCUGAGGCUCAACCUCAGUUCGCGUGGGAAACCACCUAGCUAGAGUCCGGAAGAGGAGAACGGAAUUCCCAGUGUAGCGGUGAAAUGCGCAGAUAUUGGGAAGAACACCAGUGGCGAAGGCGGUUCUCUGGGACGGUACUGACGCUGAGACGCGAAAGCGUGGGGAGCGAACAGGAUUAGAAACCCCCGUAGUCC
rnacentral:rRNA from 1 species